rnacentral:rRNA from 1 species
GUUAAGCUCUUCAGCGCCGAUGGUAGUCGGGGGUUUCCCCCUGUGAGAGUAGGACGCCGCCAAGC